rnacentral:lncRNA from 1 species
AUAAAAUUGUACAUGUUGUGAAUUGUUUAUAAGAAUUACUUUAAUAAAGAUGUAAAUGAUUUUUUCAGUUAAUACGCUGUUGUUUUAAAUUCAACACAUGAGGUGUUCGAGCUGAGUUGAAUGCUUUAGCUGCCCUCUCAGUGUUCAAGUUCAGAUUUGCAACGUCUCGCGUAAUCCUAUUACUUGAGUUCACAUUGUUCCUACUAUGCGGUAGCACAGUUUAUUCGUCAUGGAUCCCUUGCUGUUCGGUUGACAAGUGUGUGCGCACCCGAUGAUUUAUAUUGCGCAGAGAACAGGGCGUUUUCUAAAAAAGGCUGGGCAAAUAUCAGUACUUAUACAGAACACUCCCAGAAAAUUCAGUACUUUUACAGUACCAGCAAUUAACAGAGUUCGAAAAAUUUGAAAAAAUUGAAUUUUUCGCUAAAAUUGCGACAAAAAUGACAAGAGAUGUAAAAGAUUCCGGACCUUUUGGCGAAAUAUCCGCACUUUUUCAUUACUUCCGGACCGUCCUUUAAAAGUCGGUACUAUUUCCGAACUUUCCGGAAAUUCCGAACUUGAAGACACCCUGAUGAAAGCCUCCCGUUUCAACACAUACACAACCAUGAAACAACUACGUGAUCAGUCAUUAGAUAUGUAUUGUAAAGAGUGUAAAAAUUUGACAGUAGGAGCAUCGAAAAAACGUAGGAGAAAUCCGGCCGAUUUGAUGAAGCGAGAGGGAGUCUUCAGCCGAUCUGAGAAAAGCGUUCCGGUUAGAGGACGUUCAAAUUGGGCAGACCCACGUCCACGCAUGUUCGAAUCGGGCAGGGAAGGACGGUCGGGAUCUGGCAAACGAAGCCGAGGACUGAACUUUGCUUCCCUCCGACUUUUCCACCACUUUAAAUACCCCUCGGUCGAACUUUCUUUGCGUCAAUGGAUUCGACGAAAAUUGCAAAGACAAACACGGACGCGCGCUGCAAAUUGCUCCGCCAACACAAUUACCCUGCCUUGACGCCGAUUUUGGCCCAAUUAAGGGCCGUUCGGGGCGCAAGGGGAAAACAUUUGACGAAAGCACAGACUCGAAAACAACGAGUCACCAACGGAACAUGCACUGCAACCAUCGCGUUUACUUCCGUCAACUCGCAACAUUCGAAAGCAAGAAAACACUGGCAAGAUCAAAGCGACGUAAGAACGUGUCUGGGGACUGCAGCAUAGGAAAUUACGACGUCUUUUCCUGAAUAAAACCACCGGACAAGGUAUGAAUUCGAGCAUUCUGUAGUCAUCGUUUGAGGGACAAAAGGAUUGCACACUGGAAAAAAAAACAAAAAAAACACAUUGGAUCUAGAGUCCAGACUCUUGAAAACAUUGACAAGAAAAACUACUCUAGGUUCAAUCGGAUUUUUGCUUGAAUCAAAACGAAAUCCGCUUAAAUUAA